rnacentral:rRNA from 1 species
GACGAACGCUGGCGGCGUGCUUAACACAUGCAAGUCGAACGGAAAGGCCCUGCUUUUGUGGGGUGCUCGAGUGGCGAACGGGUGAGUAACACGUGAGUAACCUGCCCUUGACUUUGGGAUAACUUCAGGAAACUGGGGCUAAUACCGGAUAGGAGCUCCUGCUGCAUGGUGGGGGUUGGAAAGUUUCGGCGGUUGGGGAUGGACUCGCGGCUUAUCAGCUUGUUGGUGGGGUAGUGGCUUACCAAGGCUUUGACGGGUAGCCGGCCUGAGAGGGUGACCGGCCACAUUGGGACUGAGAUACGGCCCAGACUCCUACGGGAGGCAGCGGUGGGGAAUAUUGCACAAUGGGCGGAAGCCUGAUGCAGCAACGCCGCGUGCGGGAUGACGGCCUUCGGGUUGUAAACAGCUUUCGCCUGUGACGAAGCGGGAGUGACGGUAAUGGGUAAAGAAGCACCGGCUAACUACGUG